rnacentral:rRNA from 1 species
UGGGGAAUAUUGCACAAUGGGCGCAAGCCUGAUGCAGCCAUGCCGCGUGUGUGAAGAAGGCCCUCGGGUUGUAAAGCACUUUCAGCGAGGAGGAAGGGUUCAGUGUUAAUAGCACUGUUCAUUGACGUUACUCGCAGAAGAAGCACCGGCUAACUCCGUGCCAGCAGCCGCGGUAAUACGGAGGGUGCAAGCGUUAAUCGGAAUUACUGGGCGUAAAGCGCACGCAGGCGGUUUGUUAAGUCAGAUGUGAAAUCCCCGCGCUUAACGUGGGAACUGCAUUUGAAACUGGCAAGCUAGAGUCUUGUAGAGGGGGGUAGAAUUCCAGGUGUAGCGGUGAAAUGCGUAGAGAUCUGGAGGAAUACCGGUGGCGAAGGCGGCCCCCUGGACAAAGAC